ACCACAACGACAAGCAAAGUAAGCGUCGUGGUGGUGGUUUAUCUGUAAAAAAAAGAUAUGCCUGAGAUUCGCGGACCGUCGGAAUACUAACUAUCAGGAACCAUCUUGUGACCUCUGUCUCAAAGUCAACACAAAGGAAAGCUCUUCUUUGCUUUGUUUCUGAUAUGCUAUUUUAUGUAUUCAUUCGAUUGACAGGAGAUAGCCCUUCAAUGCGGAGCCUUCUCGCUCUGCCUUAGUGUCAUCUUUUGUCACUCUUUUCUACAAGCGAAUCAUGGCCCCGCCCGCUCCCAUUGUUGAUCACAUCGAAAGGUCCUCAUCUUCCGUUUCUUUCAACUUUGCCUCCCUCUCUGAUUCUGGAUCUCUCGUUUCUUCUAACCAGCUACUCCGUGCCCGUCACCCUAUUCAUCAAAUAUAUCAGGAUUGUUGCCUAGCAAUUUAUUUCAAGAAGGGGGAGAAGAAUAUUAAAAAAAAAAAUAAAGAAACCUACGAAG